GAUGAACGCUGGCGGCGUGCCUAAUACAUGCAAGUCGAGCGAACAGACGAGGAGCUUGCUCCUCUGACGUUAGCGGCGGACGGGUGAGUAACACGUGGAUAACCUACCUAUAAGACUGGGAUAACUUCGGGAAACCGGAGCUAAUACCGGAUAAUAUAUUGAACCGCAUGGUUCAACAGUGAAAGACGGCUUUGCUGUCACUUAUAGAUGGAUCCGCGCCGCAUUAGCUAGUUGGUAAGGUAACGGCUUACCAAGGCAACGAUGCGUAGCCGACCUGAGAGGGUGAUCGGCCACACUGGAACUGAGACACGGUCCAGACUCCUACGGGAGGCAGCAGUAGGGAAUCUUCCGCAAUGGGCGAAAGCCUGACGGAGCAACGCCGCGUGAGUGAUGAAGGUCUUCGGAUCGUAAAACUCUGUUAUUAGGGAAGAACAAAUGUGUAAGUAACUAUGCACGUCUUGACGGUACCUAAUCAGAAAGCCACGGCUAACUACGUG
rnacentral:rRNA from 1 species